ensembl:lncRNA novel transcript
AGAUGAACGUAGUCUUCACUGUGCUACCUGCUCUGAAUAUAUCCAUGCAGUUUCAUUCAAUUUUUCUGGAGGAGACCGAUCAGCAAUUUUCAUAAGAUGGGGGCGAGUAGUAGCGUGAAUGAACCCUGUCUAAAGCAUGUGGAAGACGAGGAGGAACGCAAAGCCCUUAACAUCGAAGCUAUAGGACAAACUGGCUGUAUACUUUGCUUGAAGAAUUAUGAAUCAUGAUAAAAGUAACCUGUAAUGCCCCUAGAAAUAGGGCUCUUGUUUAAUCUCUGCUUAAACAUUGACUAAAGACACAAUGGCCACAUCUAGCAAUGUGAUUCUGGAGACAGUGCUGCGGUCUGCAACGGGACAUGAAUGGCCAAGCCAAGCUUGCAAACAUGGGAUGCUGUGCGUGGGGACAGACCUAUGGAGUCUUGCUCU